UGAAUCUCCAGCGGCCAACUCAAAAGCUAAGUGGAGCUGUUCACUUGUGCCUGUAACACCAACCCUAAGAGGUUGGCAGAAACAGGAUCCUAGGGCUCCAUAGCUUGAUAGCUACCAGGCUAGGUGUGGGUUCACAGAGACCCUGUCUCUACUGAAUAAGGCAGCGAGUGAUAAGGCAACACAUAUUCCUCCGGCCUCUGAACAUGGAGGCUCGGGUGCAUGUGCCUACACAUACCAUACACACAUACCACACAUACCAUACACACAUACACCUCCCCUUCCCCCACCCCCCACAUGCCAAUGUGAGGGGUGCUGGGGAGAUGGCUCAAUCCCUAAAGUGCUUGCUAGUCAACCUGUAACAACCCCAGCUCCAUCCCCAGCACUCACCUAACAAGUUGGUGUGGUAGUUCACAUCUGUCUCUCCACUGCUGGGGAUCACCUAGCCAAACUGAGACUCUGAGACUCUAGUCAGUAGAGACCCUGACACAAGUGGAGAGCAACUGAUACAAGUACCUGUUAUAAACCUCUGACCUCUCCAUGCAUGUUCACUCUCACGCACAUGUGUGUACAUACAGAUACACAUCAUACAAAUGCCUAUGAGAUAGCUGGAUGUCAUGGGCCAUGUUUAUAAUCUCACCACUUGGGAGGCCGUGGCAGAAUAGCAGCUGCAAGUUUGAGACAAGCUUGGACUACAUGAAGCCCUGUAGAAACCCAACAAAUCUUGUUGGUACUUGACAGUUCAACUCCACACGGCUACAGAUGGCUUGCCCAUUCCCAGUGCUCUGCUGCCUAACCACAGCUCGGUUUAAAGAACUCUGAGGCUUCAAGUGGGGGAUCAGAAAAUGGACUGUUUUCCCAGCCCAAUGGGCUUUCCUACCUCCGAAGCUCUGGAAUAGUGAACCACAGAAGACUCCAGAAUAAACUUUUAAAGUCAAUGAAGACGCUGGGAUGUUCUUACUCAGCUGAAGAUCUUGUUUCCUCCCCCAGCCUUCCAUGCACCUCCUCCUUGUUGGGACUAGGGAGUGACAUCAGAAUUGCAGCUAGUGACAUCACUGUCUCUAUAGCAACCAUGUGAGGUUGCCUAAGAUUGAGUACUCAAAAAAGGAUAAGAGGAGGGGUGGAAAUAAAUAUACUUUAUGGCUCUGACA